AGAAACAAACAAAAACGUGAAGGCGACGGAGUAGGAGAGGACAUUCUCCAUGCAGCUAGCUAGGAUUAGGACGUACCAUUAAUAUAUAAAGUGUCAAGAAAUGGGAAGGGACCGCCAAGUUUCCUUGUGUGUCUAUUUGCGCAAUAAUAUCAGAUCACUUAUCUCUUCCUUAUCUUUAUAUAUCUAUGACCAGUACCUGAUCUUUCAUCGGUUUUCAGCUCUCUCCCUUCUCCACACAUUUAUCUGUCUCCACCACUUCUUCGAUAAUAUAAGCUAAUUUGUUUGAACUACUUUGAAUUACUGGUCGGUUGAUCUGCCUUCCGGAAAUUAAAACUAUUUGCGAGAGAGAGAGAGAGAAGGAAGAAUGUAUGCACCACCUGGUUAUGAAGGGAUGUCGCAUUUUGAUCAUGUUCGGAGACGCCAUGAAGAGAAAGGCUUCCUCUACGCCUGUUUGUUCGCCUUGUGUUGCUGUUUCUGCUGCUUUGAGACUUGCGAGUGCUGCUUAGAAUUUCUUUGCUGUUGCUGCCCUUAGUACCAUACAAGCUGGAAGUAAUCUAGAGGAGAGGAGAACGGCGGUCCACGUCUGUGACACUCAUCACUUUGCAGUAUUGUUAUCAUCAUGUAUCGUUUAAUUUCCUUUCAUCAACCAACAAUAACUGCCAGUCUCCAACCUCACAGUACGUUUAUGUGAUUGGUGUCUAUCCCCAGUGUGAUAUAUAUAUAUAUAUAUAUAACUUUCCCCUGCUUUUAAUUUAUUUGUGGCACAAAUCACAAUUAAAAUUUAUAUAAAAGAUUUUAUAUUCCCCCUAUCAUUA